GGCCUUUCCCGGGGCGCUGGUGGCCGGCGGGGCGUCUAGAGCUCAGGCUGGACUGGGGCCCCCGCGGCGUGUGUCCGCGCUGGCAGCAGGGAGAGGGGGCUUGUCCGUGAGAAACGGCCCCAGGAAAUUCCCAGGGCAAGGUCGUUUUCGGAGAACAAAGUCCUCUCGCCCCCUCCCCACGCCUGCAGCGAGACAAAAAGCCUCAGGGAGGUGAGAGGUGCCGCACCCCGGGAGCUGGAGAGAGGAGUCUGGGACGGAGAAACUUUAAAAAGUAAAUGCCCAAACCAACUCCUUGAAUGUCCUACAAAAGAAUAAGAAAACCCCGAGGGAGGUGAACCACAAAAAUUGCUUUGCAAGCAAUGUCCGGCACCAUCAGCAACUCCUACUGGACUCCCAGGAGUUUGCAAGCGUUCUUAACCCCUUCGGACGCUCCAGCCAGAUGCCAGUCAAACAGAUGAUGCUCUUGCCUGAGGGGAAAGGAAAGACACAACCUAGUGCCACAGGUUUUACUCAGAAACUGUUUCCCCAGCUUCUCCAGCUCUUUGUACUUAUUUGUGUGUUUUUAUAUGCAAGUUAGAACUAACAGUCUAUUAAAGCUGUUAGAUGGAGAUACAUGUUCCAUCCCACCCUCAGCCACACCUUGGAUUUUAAUACUUCUGGAACGGUGCCUGCAGGUACCAGGAAGAGCUAAACAACUUCACCUGUUGAAGACUGGCUAGUGAUGGGGAACGGUCCUCCUGCUUCCCGCUUUUGUUUCCACUUCCCCCAUUAACUGUUGUACUCUGUUGAGGGAACUCCUUUCAGAAACAGCAAACCAGAGAAACUGCCUCGCUAGCAAAUUCAUGGGCUCAGAAAAUAAACGUCAAGAAGGCUCAGAUUAAAAUACCUUUUAAAGAUAAAAGACUCCAGUUCGCAGUCUCAUAAUCUUGUCGAAUUGUCUCAAACGCUUGGAAAAGGAACUCGCUAGGCAGAUAACCUUUUGUUCAUUAACAUUACUGGGAAACAAGAUGAGAGGCCUCAAGAAAGGGGUGGAACUCAGAAAGGAGUGAAAGCAGCAAAAUUUAGUCAGAUGCCAAAGGCUUGGCAGAAAAAAAAAUAGGGAAAACCACUACAGUGUUUUUAGCUAGUUAUCAUGGAGAAAUUGAUGCCUUCAGUCUCUUAUCUGUCUACUCUCCAAUAUUUCUACUCGUGGACGUUCCAAAUAGUUCACUUGAAAGCAAUAUGAAUGUCCGGAGAUGAGGGAGUUUAUGUAAAUUAUGGGGUUGAAAAUAUACAGGAAAAUGUUUUUAAUAAAUUAAGGAAUUGCUUGUUAGGGCACAAAACUGCAGAACUGGAUAUGCAGCUAUAAAAUUAAGAGCUUAUUUACGUUAAAUGUUCAGAGAAAAAGACUGUAAGGAAAUACAGCAAAAUGUUAAGAAGCUCUCUGGGUCUUGAGAUCACGGAAGUUUUUUCUUUCUUUUAUUCUUUAUUUUCUGCCAACUCAAAAACUUUACACCACCACCUAGAAUUGCAUCCAGCAUUUCAGUUUCUCUGUACAUGCCAUGACAUUCACGAUGAUAGACACUGGAUACAGCAGCUACUGACUGAACGAUGGACAGGAUUUUCAGAGGUUUCCUUUGGUGUUUUUUAAAUAGUUCUAAAGAAAACUUGAGUUCUUUAAGAGCAGAGAUUUCAAAUUAUUUUCAUUGUCCACAAAUUCACAAUAGCUUGGUACAGAGAAAAUGGAAAACAUGCUGGUGUCAAACCAACACAAAUGUCAAAGAAACAGUGGGUCUGUUCCAUGGAGAAAUCUCAGGGGCCAGGUACAGUGGCUCAUGCCUAUAAUCCCAGCACUUUGGGAGGCUGAGGCAGGAGGAUCACUUGAGCCCAGGAGGUGGAGGCUGCAGUGAGCUGUAUUCACACCACUGCCCUCCAGCCUGGAUUGAUCGCAGAAAAACAAAAAACAAAUCUCAAUGGGAAAAUCCCCACUUUAAAAAUAUACUUAUUUAUUUCCCCCACUUUAUCCCCCAAAAGAUUUAUGGCAACGUAUAAGGAUGCAUAAACUGUGAGAUAGUAUACAUUAUAAGUGGCACAAAACAAGAAAAAAAAGGUGGGUGGGGAUUGGGAGGCUUAGAGGGGUGGAGUAGAGAUUUAUUUAUUUAUUUUGGAGUAGAGAUUUAAAAUGGAGCUGGGAAUGAAGCUAAGAAUUGUAUCUUAUGACAUUUGCACAUGCUCCAGUAAGCUACAAAAAAAUUAUGGCUUUCUAAACAUGCCUUUCUAGAACCUAAAAUAUCUAUGCCCUUUCUGAAUAUUCCCUUUCCUUCAGACAAAAUUGUUGAAGCCAACUGUCAUGGUUUAGAAACUCUUUUAAUACAGAUGGUCCCUGACUUAUGAUUUUUUGUUUAUGACGGUGUGAAAGCGAUAGGCAUUCAGUAGAAACCGUACUUUGAAUACCCCUAGGACCUUUCUGUUUUUCACAUUCAGUACAGUAUUCAAUAAAUUACAUGAGAUAGUCAACACUUUACUAUAACAUGGGCUUCAUAUUGGAUCAUUUUGCCCAACUGGAGGCUAAUGUAAAUGUUCUGGAUACAUUUAAGAUAGGCUAGGUUAAGCUGUGAUGUUCGUCGGUAGGUUAGGUAUAUGAAAUGCAUGUUUGACUUACAAUAUUUUCAAUUUACAGAAUGUAACCUCAUCAUAAGUUGCAGAGCAUCUGUACUCGGUUUCCAAAUUCUAGUUAUUUUCCCACUUUCCAGUAAGAGUUACUUUCUGAACACCCCCACGACAGCACCGACUGCUCUAACUACCGUGCUUUCCUGAAUCCACUUCUACGAAUGUUCUCUACAUUUAGUGACAGAGAGUGGGGGUGGGGAAUUUUAAUAUUGUGAAUAACUGCCCUAUUUCUUAACAUUUGAAAUCGCUUGAGUAUAGCUUCAUAAGACACUUUACUGGCUUUAGAAAGUCAGCAGUAUAUAUUUGAGCAAUUAAUGCACAGGAAGGCAAGGACCUUCAGUUAAGUACCAGUGGAAGAAUAAUUAGAUUAGGUUGGGUGCAGCUGAUCCCUUCAGGCCUUCUUUUUGACUAUUUCAAGCUGUCACUUGCUUUGAAGAUUAAAGAGGAGUCAGCCUCACCUCUCUGAAACUGGGAUUUUUUUUUUCCAGUUUAUCAAGUGACGCUUUCAAGUGCAUUUCUUAAAUAUUCACUUCUACCUAAGAUUUAGAAUGUAUUCAAAUGUAGACUCUUAUCUGAAAUCCCCUGCUAGAACCACUAGGACAAUGCAAUGCUUGUGGUACUUACAUCAUACUGAAAAGUAGCUGAGUACGCCAGUGUUUGGAAGAACAGCUCAAGCAAUGAAAGCAGCAAUAUCCAAAUAAGGUACCAAGCACUGGACUUAGAUUUAGACCAAGCAGUGCCUCACAGAUCUGCCGUCAAAUGCAGCCCUCGGGCUUGGUAAUGCUCAGGUUGACUUUAGCUUUUUUUCUGUGCCUACUUGCACUGUGCUUUAUAUUUCUAGAAGGUCAAUUCAAAAUAUAACCCCUGGGUUUGAAAGAAGGAGAGAGGAUGGGGGUAGGAGAAAAUAAGAGAGGAUUUGUGUGGGUGUGAAAUGUGUAAGGGGGGACUUGAAAAUGCGACAUGAGGCCAG
rnacentral:lncRNA from 1 species